rnacentral:rRNA from 1 species
CCUACGGGAGGCAGCAGUGAGGAAUAUUGGUCAAUGGACGAGAGUCUGAACCAGCCAAGUAGCGUGAAGGAUGACUGCCCUAUGGGUUGUAAACUUCUUUUAUAUGGGAAUAAAACGUUCCACGUGUGGGAUUUUGUAUGUACCAUAUGAAUAAGGAUCGGCUAACUCCGUGCCAGCAGCCGCGGUAAGAAGGAGGAUCCGAGCGUUAUCCGGCUUUAUUGGGUUUAAAGGGAGCGUAGGUGGCUUGUUAAGUCAGUUGUGAAAGUUUGCGGCUCAACCGUAAAAUUGCGGUUGAAACUGGCAGUCUUGAGUACAGUAGAGGUGUGCGGAAUUCGUGGUGUAGCGGUGAAAUGCUUAGAUAUCACGAAGAACUCCGAUUGCGAAGGCAGUUCACUGGACUGCAACUGACACUGAGGCUCGAAAGUGUGGGUAUCAAACAGGAUUAGAUACCCAGUAGUC